rnacentral:rRNA from 1 species
ACGACUCUCGGCAACGGAUAUCUCGGCUCCCGCAUCGAUGAAGAACGUAGCAAAAUGCGAUACUUGGUGUGAAUUGCAGAAUCCCGUGAACCAUCGAGUUUUUGAACGCAAGUUGCGCCCGAAGCCAUUCGGUCGAGGGCACGUCUGCCUGGGCGUCCCGC